rnacentral:lncRNA from 1 species
AUCCGCCCCGAAUGGGGUAGUAAGUGGGAACAAAAAAUAUAAAAAAAUAUAACCCGCCCCGAAUCCGCCCCGAUCCGCCAAGUAAAUGGAGCGGGAGGUGGGAGACUCUUUUCUUCCUUAAUCCGUCCCGAUCCGUAAAAAAUCUGGCUCCCUCCACGAUCCGCCCCGAAUGGAGCGGUAAGUGGGAGCCAAAAAUAAAAUGAAAAGUAACCCGCCCCGAUAAGAAAUGAAGCGGGAGGUGGGGGAACUCUCCCGCCCCCGGAUUCGCCCCGUUUGCAUCCCUAGG